ACGCAGAGCCCUGACCCGACCACGCCGCGUGAGUGAUGACGGUCUUCGGAUUGUAAAGCUCUGUUGUCGGGACGAAAGAGCUCUGUGUGAAUAAUGCCAAGAAGUGACGGUACCGGAAUAGAAAGGCACGGCUAACUACGUGCCAGCAGCCGCGGUAAUACGUAGGUGCCAAGCGUUGUCCGGAAUUAUUGGGCGUAAAGCGCGCGCAGGCGGGUUUUUAAGUCUGACUUAAAAGGUCGGGGCUUAACCCCUGGAGGGGUUGGAAACUGGAAACCUUGAGUGUCGGAGAGGAAAGCGGAAUUCCUAGUGUAGCGGUGAAAUGCGUAAAUAUUAGGAAGAACACCGGUGGCGAAGGCGGCUUUCUGGACUAAAACUGACGCUGAGGCUCGAAAGCCUGGGGAGCAAACGGGAUUAGAUACCCCGGUAGUCCUGGCCGUAAACGAUGGGUGCUAGGUGUAGGAGGUUUCCACGCCUUCUGUGCCGGAGUUAACGCAUUAAGUACCCCGCCUGGGGAGUACGACCGCAAGGUUGAAACU
rnacentral:rRNA from 1 species